rnacentral:lncRNA from 1 species
CACUCCUUAUUUUGUCCCCUGCCACAACAAAAUUGGUAGGGAUAUUAUCUUCGAUAAAGACCUCCUCUACGUGAGCAUACUUCUCUGCUCGAGCCAGCAUGUCAGGAUAAUUCUGAAGAUAGGUCUUUACAAUGACUUCUUGAGAUUAUUUUUUUUAAAAGUCCAUCCAUCAUUACAGACAUUGUGAUCGAUUGAUUUAAGUCACGAACC